GGUGACUCAGUGGUAGAGUGCUUGCCUUACAUGCAUGAAGCCCUGGGUUCGAUUCCUCAGCACCA
rnacentral:tRNA from 1 species